rnacentral:rRNA from 1 species
UGGGGAAUUUUGGACAAUGGGGGAAACCCUGAUCCAGCCAUCCCGCGUGUGCGAUGAAGGCCUUCGGGUUGUAAAGCACUUUUGGCAGGAAAGAAACGUCAUGGGUUAAUACCCCGUGAAACUGACGGUACCUGCAGAAUAAGCACCGGCUAACUACGUGCCAGCAGCCGCGGUAAUACGUAGGGUGCAAGCGUUAAUCGGAAUUACUGGGCGUAAAGCGUGCGCAGGCGGUUCGGAAAGAAAGAUGUGAAAUCCCAGAGCGCAACUUUGGAACUGCAUAUUUAACUACCGGGCUAGAGUGUGUCAGAGGGAGGUGGAAUUCCGCGUGUAGCAGUGAAAUGCGUAGAUAUGCGGAGGAACACCGAUGGCGAAGGCAGCCUCCUGGGAUAACACUGACGCUCAUGCACGAAAGCGUGGGGAGCAAACAGG